UGUCUCAGAUACUCCAAGAGUCCUAAGAAUACGAUGUUCAAGUUUAUAAUCAUUAACAUCAAACAAGGAUAGAUAAUGAUGCAGGUUUUGAGGAUGGAAUAAGUCAUAGAAUAGAGGCCUCAAUGACCUUCUAGGUGGCUUAAUUUUGCUGGGUUCUGCUUUUUAAUCCAUGUUUAUUCUUGGCACCUUCAUUUGGAGUCCUUUAACGCAUAAUAAGCCUGAAGACCUGGCUUGACAAUUUAUUUUGGGUGUGUAUGUCUCCUUUUUCCUUUUCCUCACAUGGGUCCUUCAUGAAUUGUCUAAGCUCAUUCUCUUAGUUCACUAUCGGUGUAUAUUUCUCAUGUCUUAUAUUUUAUUAUAUUUCAAGAUAAUGUAGAUUUCUCAGUUGUUUCACUGCAAACAAAGUCUAUCUGUUCAUACUGUUAGCCUGUAACUCUGUAUUCCUUAUCCGCGAAAUUUAUCACCAACUUGGAACUGUAUUAUUGAUUGUAAACAUGGACCUUGUCUCCUUGCAGGCAAUACGAACAGGCUGGGUUCAUCCAAAUAUCAAUCUUGAAAAUCCAGACAAUGGCGUGGAUAUAAAUAUGCUGGUUGGACCAAAGAAAGAAAAACUGGAUAUCAAGGUGGCAUUGUCCAACUCAUUUGGAUUUGGUGGCCACAAUUCAUCAAUCUUAUUUGCUCCGUACAAGUAGAUCAUUUUUGUGCUCGAGUUGGCAAAGAAUUUCUGCAGAAGCUAAUAAGAGUACACUUUUUACUCUACUGUCGGUUUCCCAUCUCUUCACCGACCCCUGUAUGAAUCGUGCUUUGCGGACAUAAUAGUUACCUCCAUCACAUAAUCGACUUUCUUGCCGCUGCAGUUACUUGGGCAUUUCACAAUGUCAAAUCUUGUGCUCAAUGGGAUGAUUGCUCGACCCUAAUGCGAAAGUGCCUUGAAAUGAAGUGGGACAAAAACUUGGUAUUUUCGCCUGGUGAUAUAAUAUGGUCUCUUGAAACAGCUAACCCUUUUGUUUCCAGUGAGCUGUUUCUAAUGUACAAUGUACCAUUACAGUGAUGAUUCUGUGAUAAUUUUGACAUGUAUUUUACCUUUACAAGAAUUGCAUUUCGAUCC